AUUGAACGCUGGCGGCAGGCCUAACACAUGCAAGUCGAACGGUAACAGGAAGCAGCUUGCUGCUUUGCUGACGAGUGGCGGACGGGUGAGUAAUGUCUGGGAAACUGCCUGAUGGAGGGGGAUAACUACUGGAAACGGUAGCUAAUACCGCAUAAUGUCGCAAGACCAAAGAGGGGGACCUUCGGGCCUCUUGCCAUCGGAUGUGCCCAGAUGGCAUUAGCUAGUAGGUGGGGUAAAGGCUCACCUAGGCGACGAUCCCUAGCUGGUCUGAGAGGAUGACCAGCCACACUGGAACUGAGACACGGUCCAGACUCCUACGGGAGGCAGCAGUGGGGAAUAUUGCACAAUGGGCGCAAGCCUGAUGCAGCCAUGCCGCGUGUAUGAAGAAGGCCUUCGGGUUGUAAAGUACUUUCAGCGGGGAGGAAGGGAGUAAAGUUAAUACCUUUGCUCAUUGACGUUACCCGCAGAAGAAGCACCGGCUAACUCCGUG
rnacentral:rRNA from 1 species